rnacentral:rRNA from 1 species
GGUUAAGCGACUAAGCGUACACGGUGGAUGCCCUGGCAGUCAGAGGCGAUGAAGGACGUGCUAAUCUGCGAUAAGCGUCGGUAAGGUGAUAUGAACCGUUAUAACCGGCGAUUUCCGAAUGGGGAAACCCAGUGUGAUUCGUCACACUAUCAUUAACUGAAUCCAUAGGUUAAUGAGGCGAACCGGGGGAACUGAAACAUCUAAGUACCCCGAGGAAAAGAAAUCAACCGAGAUUCCCCCAGUAGCGGCGAGCGAACGGGGAGGAGCCCAGAGCCUGAAUCAGUGUGUGUGUUAGUGGAAGCGUCUGGAAAGGCGCGCGAUACAGGGUGACAGCCCCGUACACAAAAAUGCACAUAUUGUGAGCUCGAUGAGUAGGGCGGGACACGUGGUAUCCUGUCUGAAUAUGGGGGGACCAUCCUCCAAGGCUAAAUACUCCUGACUGACCGAUAGUGAACCAGUACCGUGAGGGAAAGGCGAAAAGAACCCCGGCGAGGGGAGUGAAAAAGAACCUGAAACCGUGUACGUACAAGCAGUGGGAGCACGCUUAGGCGUGUGACUGCGUACCUUUUGUAUAAUGGGUCAGCGACUUAUAUUCUGUAGCAAGGUUAACCGAAUAGGGGAGCCGAAGGGAAACCGAGUCUUAACUGGGCGUUAAGUUGCAGGGUAUAGACCCGAAACCCGGUGAUCUAGCCAUGGGCAGGUUGAAGGUUGGGUAACACUAACUGGAGGACCGAACCGACUAAUGUUGAAAAAUUAGCGGAUGACUUGUGGCUGGGGGUGAAAGGCCAAUCAAACCGGGAGAUAGCUGGUUCUCCCCGAAAGCUAUUUAGGUAGCGCCUCGUGAAUUCAUCUCCGGGGGUAGAGCACUGUUUCGGCAAGGGGGUCAUCCCGACUUACCAACCCGAUGCAAACUGCGAAUACCGGAGAAUGUUAUCAUGGGAGACACACGGCGGGUGCUAACGUCCGUCGUGAAGAGGGAAACAACCCAGACCGCCAGCUAAGGUCCCAAAGUCAUGGUUAAGUGGGAAACGAUGUGGGAAGGCCCAGACAGCCAGGAUGUUGGCUUAGAAGCAGCCAUCAUUUAAAGAAAGCGUAAUAGCUCACUGGUCGAGUCGGCCUGCGCGGAAGAUGUAACGGGGCUAAACCAUGCACCGAAGCUGCGGCAGCGACGCUGAUGCGUUGUUGGGUAGGGGAGCGUUCUGUAAGCCUGCGAAGGUGUGCUGUGAGGCAUGCUGGAGGUAUCAGAAGUGCGAAUGCUGACAUAAGUAACGAUAAAGCGGGUGAAAAGCCCGCUCGCCGGAAGACCAAGGGUUCCUGUCCAACGUUAAUCGGGGCAGGGUGAGUCGACCCCUAAGGCGAGGCCGAAAGGCGUAGUCGAUGGGAAACAGGUUAAUAUUCCUGUACUUGGUGUUACUGCGAAGGGGGGACGGAGAAGGCUAUGUUGGCCGGGCGACGGUUGUCCCGGUUUAAGCGUGUAGGCUGGUUUUCCAGGCAAAUCCGGAAAAUCAAGGCUGAGGCGUGAUGACGAGGCACUACGGUGCUGAAGCAACAAAUGCCCUGCUUCCAGGAAAAGCCUCUAAGCAUCAGGUAACAUCAAAUCGUACCCCAAACCGACACAGGUGGUCAGGUAGAGAAUACCAAGGCGCUUGAGAGAACUCGGGUGAAGGAACUAGGCAAAAUGGUGCCGUAACUUCGGGAGAAGGCACGCUGAUAUGUAGGUGAGGUCCCUCGCGGAUGGAGCUGAAAUCAGUCGAAGAUACCAGCUGGCUGCAACUGUUUAUUAAAAACACAGCACUGUGCAAACACGAAAGUGGACGUAUACGGUGUGACGCCUGCCCGGUGCCGGAAGGUUAAUUGAUGGGGUUAGCGCAAGCGAAGCUCUUGAUCGAAGCCCCGGUAAACGGCGGCCGUAACUAUAACGGUCCUAAGGUAGCGAAAUUCCUUGUCGGGUAAGUUCCGACCUGCACGAAUGGCGUAAUGAUGGCCAGGCUGUCUCCACCCGAGACUCAGUGAAAUUGAACUCGCUGUGAAGAUGCAGUGUACCCGCGGCAAGACGGAAAGACCCCGUGAACCUUUACUAUAGCUUGACACUGAACAUUGAGCCUUGAUGUGUAGGAUAGGUGGGAGGCUUUGAAGUGUGGACGCCAGUCUGCAUGGAGCCGACCUUGAAAUACCACCCUUUAAUGUUUGAUGUUCUAACGUUGACCCGUAAUCCGGGUUGCGGACAGUGUCUGGUGGGUAGUUUGACUGGGGCGGUCUCCUCCUAAAGAGUAACGGAGGAGCACGAAGGUUGGCUAAUCCUGGUCGGACAUCAGGAGGUUAGUGCAAUGGCAUAAGCCAGCUUGACUGCGAGCGUGACGGCGCGAGCAGGUGCGAAAGCAGGUCAUAGUGAUCCGGUGGUUCUGAAUGGAAGGGCCAUCGCUCAACGGAUAAAAGGUACUCCGGGGAUAACAGGCUGAUACCGCCCAAGAGUUCAUAUCGACGGCGGUGUUUGGCACCUCGAUGUCGGCUCAUCACAUCCUGGGGCUGAAGUAGGUCCCAAGGGUAUGGCUGUUCGCCAUUUAAAGUGGUACGCGAGCUGGGUUUAGAACGUCGUGAGACAGUUCGGUCCCUAUCUGCCGUGGGCGCUGGAGAACUGAGGGGGGCUGCUCCUAGUACGAGAGGACCGGAGUGGACGCAUCACUGGUGUUCGGGUUGUCAUGCCAAUGGCACUGCCCGGUAGCUAAAUGCGGAAGAGAUAAGUGCUGAAAGCAUCUAAGCACGAAACUUGCCCCGAGAUGAGUUCUCCCUGACCCUUUAAGGGUCCUGAAGGAACGUUGAAGACGACGACGUUGAUAGGCCGGGUGUGUAAGCGCAGCGAUGCGUUGAGCUAACCGGUACUAAUGAACCGUGAGGCUUAACCUU